rnacentral:rRNA from 1 species
UACGUAGGGUGCGAGCGUUGUCCGGAGUUAUUGGGCGUAAAGAGCUCGUAGGCGGCUUGUCGCGUCGGAUGUGAAAGCCCGGGGCUUAACUCCGGGUCUGCAUUCGAUACGGGCAGGCUAGAGUUCGGUAGGGGAGAUCGGAAUUCCUGGUGUAGCGGUGAAAUGCGCAGAUAUCAGGAGGAACACCGGUGGCGAAGGCGGAUCUCUGGGCCGAUACUGACGCUGAGGAGCGAAAGCGUGGGGAGCAAACAGG